GCCACAUCAUGUAGAAACACCGAUUCCCGCACAAUAACCAAAGUUAAGCAACGUCGAGUUUGGUUAGUACUGAGAUGCCUGACCGCUUGGGAAUAUCAAGUGCUGUAA